rnacentral:lncRNA from 1 species
CAACAACGGGUUGUCCGAUUCAUCUGAAAAUUUUAGGGCAGAUAGAUUUUGACCUGAUAAACAAUUUUACCCCUGUCAGAUUUGCUCUAAAUGCUUUGGUUUUUGAGUUAUAAGCCAAAAACUGCAUUUUACCCCUAUGUUCUAUUUUUAGCCAUGGCGGCCAUCUUGGUUGGAUGGUCAGGUCACCGGACAUAUUUUUUAAACUAGAUACCCCAAAGAUGAUUGUAGCCAAGUUUGGAUUUAUUUGGCCCAGUAGUUUCAGAGAAGAUUUUUGUAAAAGAUUACUAAGAUUUACGAAAAAUGGUUAAAAAUUGACUAUAAAGGGCAAUAACUCCUAAAGGGGUCAACUGACCAUUUCGGUCAUGUUCACUUAUUUGUAGAUCUAACUUUGCUGAACAUUAUUGCUGUAAACAGUUUAUC